AACGAACGCUGGCGGCAUGCCUAACACAUGCAAGUCGAACGAGACCUUCGGGUCUAGUGGCGCACGGGUGCGUAACGCGUGGGAACCUGCCCUUAGGUUCGGAAUAACUCCCCGAAAGGGGUGCUAAUACCGGAUAAUGUCUUCGGACCAAAGAUUUAUCGCCUUUGGAUGGGCCCGCGUUGGAUUAGCUAGUUGGUAGGGUAAAAGCCUACCAAGGCGACGAUCCAUAGCUGGUCUGAGAGGAUGAUCAGCCACACUGGGACUGAGACACGGCCCAGACUCCUACGGGAAGCAGCAGUGGGGAAUAUUGGACAAUGGGCGAAAGCAUGAUCCAGCAAUGCCGCGUGAGUGAUGAAGGCCUUAGGGUUGUAAAGCGCUUUUACCCGGGAUGAUAAUGACAGUACCGGGAGAAUAAGCUCCGGCUAACUCCGUG
rnacentral:rRNA from 1 species